rnacentral:rRNA from 1 species
UACGUAGGUCCCGAGCGUUAUCCGGACUUAUUGGGCGUAAAGCGAGCGCAGGCGGUUAAAUAAGUCUGAAGUGAAAGGCUGUGGCUUAACCAUAGUAUGCUUUGGAAACUGUUUAACUUGAGUGCAGAAGGGGGGAGUGGAAUUCCAUGUGUAGCGGUGAAAUGUGUAGAGAUAUGGAGGAACACCGGUGGCGAAAGCGGCUCUCUGGUCUGUAACUGACGCUGAGGCUCGAAAGCGUGGGUAGCAAACAGG